rnacentral:rRNA from 1 species
ACCUAUAGUUCUAUGGACUAAAUGCACAUGAUCUCAUACAUUCUCGGAAGCUAAGCUGUCCUGUAUCUGGUUUAUAUUUGAAAGGGAAACUGCCUGGGAAUUCCAGAUCUCAUAGUUG